AUGUCAGCAAGCACUAAUGCGGUAAUGGCUCACUUCCUCCGGGCCUCGAGUGCCUUCUUCAGCUCCUCGCUGGCAUCAUUCGGUCCACUGGCCACCAGCUCCUUCCCAUUUCCAUGGAGAUCAGGCUUCACGGGGAAAGGAUUUUGCAGAGGCGGCGACGUUGCCGGCAUCCUUCGAGCGUCGCCCUUGCUGGGAACUGAGAUAGCUCGGCUGACCCCGAUCUCAGCGCGCAGGCCCUCCACAGUGUGCCGCAGCAUGAUGCUCUCAUCGUUCAGGGCCUCCAGCUGCCUCUUCAUCAAUGAGAAUUCCUCUCCCUGGGCUACAGGCGCGCUCUUCCCCUUCUUGUCCUCUUCAGACUUGGGAUGCCGGCGUGGUGUGUGCUCAAUUGUGAUCUUGUUCAUGACGAGCAGCGGCAGCUUGCUGACAGCCAGGCUCCCCGCCUUCCGCCCGUAUCCAUCGUCAGCGAGCGCGGCCUUCAGCUCUGGUGGCACACGCAGCCCCCACUGGAACCUCAGGCUCGCCCUGUUCCACAGCGGCAGCAUGCUCCUGGUCGUGAGGCGCAUCCCGGACAGCAGCAUGCCCACCCCUCCGCCGGUGGUCCCGGCGGCCGUGACGUCCGCCGCGAACCCGUUCCCGUUGAGGGAGAACUCCUUGUGGCCCUCAUGGUCGUGGUCGUCGCCGUUGGCGAGGUCGGCCAGCUUGUGGGGCGGCGGCAGCGCGGGGGUGUCGGGGAAGGGCGGCGAGCGGACGGAGUUGGCGAGGGAGAAGUCGCCGAGCCGGGGCUUGAAGAGGAGCGAGAAGGCGGGCGGGUUGGAGGAGAGGAGGUUGAACUCGGCGGAGAGCGCCAAGGGGGCGCGGACGGGAGAGCCGAGCGCGCCGAGGCCCGUGCGGAUGGAGAGCGCGAAGGGCUGGAGCGGGUCGUUGGGGCGGUACGAGAGGCGGAGCCCCGGGCCGGAGGGGAAGGCGGUGGAGAGAUCGAAGCGGAGGUCCUCGGCGUCGCCGCCGGCCGAGACGCCCGAGAGGAACGGCAGCCCGAGCACGCCGAUGGGCACCUUGGCGCGCAGCAGCGGCCGGUCGUCGUCGCGGAACUUGAUGGAGGCCUUCAUGGUGGGUGGUGGUGGUGGCUAG
rnacentral:rRNA from 1 species